UACGGAGGGGGCGAGCGUUAUUCGGAAUUAUUGGGCGUAAAGGGCGCGUAGGCGGCCCGGUAAGUCAAAGGUGAAAUCCCUCGGCUCAACUGAGGAACUGCCUUUGAAACUGUCGGGCUUGAGGCCGGGAGGGGGUAGCGGAAUUCCCAGUGUAGCGGUGAAAUGCGUAGAUAUCGGGAGGAACACCAGUAGCGAAGGCGGCACUCUGGGCCGGUACUGACGCUGAGGAGCGAAAGCGUGGGGAGCAAACAGG
rnacentral:rRNA from 1 species